rnacentral:rRNA from 1 species
AGUGAACGCUGGCGGUAGGCCUAACACAUGCAAGUCGAACGGCAGCACAGGAGAGCUUGCUCUCUGGGUGGCGAGUGGCGGACGGGUGAGGAAUACAUCGGAAUCUACUCUGUCGUGGGGGAUAACGUAGGGAAACUUACGCUAAUACCGCAUACGACCUACGGGUGAAAGCAGGGGACCUUCGGGCCUUGCGCGAUUGAAUGAGCCGAUGUCGGAUUAGGUAGCUGGCGGGGUAAAGGCCCACCAAGGCGACGAUCCGUAGCUGGUCUGAGAGGAUGAUCAGCCACACUGGAACUGAGACACGGUCCAGACUCCUACGGGAGGCAGCAGUGGGGAAUAUUGGACGAUGGGCGCAAGCCUGAUCCAGCCAUACCGCGUGGGUGAAGAAGGCCUUCGGGUUGUAAAGCCCUUUUGUUGGGAAAGAAAUCCAGCUGGCUAAUACCCGGUUGGGAUGACUGUACCCAAAGAAUAAGCACCGGCUAACUUCGUGCCAGCAGCCGCCGCCG